rnacentral:sRNA from 1 species
UGUAAGUCUUAAACUCUACAUUAGAUGUUGAUUGAUUUAUACUUUGAGUAUACCAAUUAUGGUUAACAUUCUUUUAAAGUCUAGGAGCAUGAGGGCUUUGACUUGUGUGUGUGUGUGUGUGUGUGUGUGUGUGUGUGUUAAAAUGAAUACUGAGUACCAACCUCUAA